UAACCGGACGCUGCUUGAGACACGUGAGAACAACAAGUAGACCGGAGAAAAUCUGAAGAACGUCUCGAAUUAAAGUCUGGAUAUUUACUUUUAUCCAGGCUUUAGUAAAUGAAAAGAAGAGGAGUUUAUAGUCCGUUUUUAAAUGGAGCUACUUCGUUUUUCCACUUUCUGUUGGGGAACGAUAAUGUUUGGUAGUAUUCUGUUAUAACAGAAAAUGGCCUCAUCAAUGACUAUGCUGAAGCUGAAGCGUCUGUGUAAAUUCUGUGACGUUGAGUCUACCAGCUGCAUGGGCACACUGUUUGACCAACUGUAGCAUCACAGCCAUCUGCCCCCAUCCAGAGGACGUGUGUGUCAGCAUUUGGAGGAAGAAAGACGACAAUGUCACCAUAGACACGAUAUGCCACAACCCAGCCCAUAAGCUGCAUGGUCUGGUGCUGGAGGACUAUAACAACAGCACGUGUGAGAUGAGGGAGAGGAAUGACAUGUGCUCCUAGUUCUUCAUCUGCUCCUGCUCCGAGGACGAGUGCAAUGACCACCUUUUCUUCCCCCCCUGGCGGCAGGUAGCCUCGUGGUUAGAACGUUGGACCAGUAACCGAAAGGUUUCUAGAUCGUAUCCCCAAGCUAACAAGAAUUUUAUUUAUAUACCAACUAUGUUACCCAUCGGCUGGCCAGUCCUUAACCAAAGCCAAUCAAGACAAGAAUCACAGACUAAUGUCAACUCAACUGUCAAUCAUAUCAACUGUACUGUGAUUCCAUCUGAACAACUUAGCAUGCCAUGUACCAUCAUCUGAAUAUAGAGACUCAGGUCAGAUGCAUUCGCAUGAUGGAUGACUGGUGGAUUGCGUUGAGCCGUGGAGUGAAAGUUUGUACACGUUUUGUAUGUGCUACUGCUAACAUUGGCAGUCGCGGCCUGUAUUGUUUUUCCAUGAAUGUGAAAUAUAAUGCCAUAUUUCCAUUCAUUUGGAAGACUACUAAUAUAAUAAAUACUGUACCUCACAGAUCUUGGAACUGUCUUACUUUGUAGAUAUAGAAAAUGCGAAAGACCUGUAAAUGUUUUGUUGUCAUUUGACCAGUUGCAAAGAAAAGAGAAAGCAUUUCAAGCUUCAAAUCAUGUCUUGAA